rnacentral:misc_RNA from 1 species
GUCAUUUUAGGUCUCAAUUUAACUCUGUCAAACAUGCAAGCGUAAACAUCAAGGCCUUGCGGCCCUGUGCUAAUGUGUCGGUCGCAGUGGGGUUGUCCAGUGAAGAUUCUCAGUGAGGAUUUCUCAGUGAAGAUUCUCAGUGAGGAUUCUCAGUGAGGGUCCACAGUGGAGCCCCACAAACCAACCAACCGAUUUGUAAUGAUCCUUCCGCAGGUUCACCUACGGAAA